rnacentral:rRNA from 1 species
GAUGAACGCUGGCGGCGUGCUUAACACAUGCAAGUCGAACGGCAAGGCCCAAGCUUGCUUGGGUUCUCGAUUGGCGAAGGGGUGCGUAACACGUGGGUGAUCUACCCUGCACUUCCGGGGAGGCCUAGGAAACUGGGCUUACUAUCGGAUAGGAUCACAUCUUCGGUUGUGUGGUGGAAAGCUUUUCGGGGUGGGAUGAUUUCGCGGGCUAUAGGCUUGUUGGUGGGGUGAUGGCCUACCAGGGCGUCGGCGGGUAGCCGGCCUGUGGGGGUGUACGGCGACAUUGACACUGAGAGGAGGCCCAGACGCCGAAGGGUGGAAGCAGGGGGGAAUAUUGCACAAGGGGUGCAAGCCGGAUGCAGCGGCGCCGCGUGGGGGAUGACGGCCUUGGGGUUGAAGACUCGUUGCGCUAGAGACGAAGCGUUAUGUGACGGUACCUGGAGAAGAAGCACCGGCUAACUACGUG